CAGGGGAUAGUUUAAUAUAGAAUAUCAGCUUUGGGUGUUGAUGGUAGAGUGAGAGAUUCUUUCCCUGA
rnacentral:tRNA from 1 species